rnacentral:rRNA from 1 species
CAGUCGCCGCGGUAAUACGAAGGGUGCAAGCGUUACUCGGAAUUACUGGGCGUAAAGCGUGCGUAGGUGGUGGUUUAAGUCCGUUGUGAAAGCCCUGGGCUCAACCUGGGAAUUGCAGUGGAUACUGGGUCACUAGAGUGUGGUAGAGGAUAGUGGAAUUUCCGGUGUAGCAGUGAAAUGCGUAGAGAUCGGAAGGAACAUCUGUGGCGAAGGCGACUAUCUGGGCCAACACUGACACUGAGGCACGAAAGCGUGGGUAGCGAACAGGAUUAGAUACCCCUGUAGUCCCUGUCUCUUAUAC